CUCUCCUCUCCUCCUCUAAUCAUGGACAACAUCCUAUAUUUAAUGACGGGUCUGCAUGGAUGCAAUACAGGCAGUCCUCAAUUUACAACAGUUCCCUUAGAGACCAUUCGAAAUUACAACGGCAACUGAAAAAGGUUACUUAUAGCCGUCUUCUGACGGUUGCAGUGUUCCUACAGACACAUGGUCCAAAUUUGCACACUUGGCAACUGACUCGUAUUUAUGACAAUUGCAGCGUCCCAGGGUGACCUGUUCCCCUUUUGCGAGCUUCUGACAAGCAACAUUAAUGGGGAAACCAGGUUCACUUAACAACCGGGUUACUAACUCAACAACCGCAGGGAUUCCCUUGACAAACGUGUCUCACUUGGCAACAGAAAUUUCGGGAUCAAUUAUUGCCGUAAGUCAAAGACUGCCUGUAUUGAAGGAAGCAAACUUCUACUCCGUGUUGGAAACUGGCUAUUAUUAAACCGGACUGUAUUCGGUUUAAUAAUAUUCGGCCUUAUUAUAACUUAAGACCUCAUGUGAUCAAAAUUUGGAUGCUUGGCAACUGGUUCAUACUUACGACGGUUGCUGUGACCCAAAGUCAGGUGGUCCCCUUUGGCGAUUUUCUGACAAGCAAAGUCAACAGGGAAGCCGGAUUCACUAAACAAUUGUGUUACUGGCUUAACAACUGCAGUGAUUCACUUAACAAUUGUAACGAGAAAGAUUAGAGAAUGGGGCAAAACUCACUUAACAACUCUCCCGUUUAGUAACAGAAAUGUAGGGUUCAGUUGCGGUCAUAGGUCAAGGACUACUUUGGGAAGGUCCGAAUGAAGAACCGAGCAUCUAUUUAAUACAGGUAGUCCUCGACGUACAACCACAAUUACGACCAACAUUUCCGUUGCUGAGCAAGGCUAAGUGAGACAUGCACGAUUUUGCAACCUGUUUUACCUGGUUGUGAAGUGAAUUUUUGCAGUUGUUAAAUGAGUCACAUGGUCAUUAAGCAAAUCUAGCUUUCCCCAUCGACUUUGCUUAUCAGAAGCCGCCUGGGAAGGUUGCAAAAAGUGACCACAUGAUUUCAGGAUGCUGCAACCCUCAUAAAUAUACGUUGGUUGCUAAGCACCCAAAUUGUGAUCGCAGAUGCUGUCAUAAGUACAAGGAAUGGUCAUGCCAUUUUUUCCAGUGAUGUCAUCUUGAAUGGUCACUAAAUGAAUAGCUGCACCUUAAGGACUAUUGUGUACUAAAAAGAAGAGGUAAAGCUUAAAAAGCUAAAAAUAAAGGAGUCCCAGUGGGUUUUACUGUGCUAGUCAUUGCCAACUCCAGAGGGUGUUGCUCAUUUCCAUUUCAAGGCCAUUGAGCCAGCCCUGACCAAAGAUACCGUGUGUUCUGUCCCCUCCCUUCCUUCCCAAAACAAUACACUAGCCGAGGCUGUCUGCCAGCAAUUUAUUUACACUUGGCCGGGUUCCUUCUGGCAGCAAAAGUUCUGGCAACAUUCCUUCACAUGCCAGCCAAGUCCUUAUCAAGCAGCAGCGUGCCGACAGGCCAUUGCCAGGGCAACCAGGUGUCUGCAGGAUGAUCUAAAGUACUCACAAGUAAUCCCAGCCUUCAGUCCAAAGCAGUCCAAAAGCCAGUAGUCCGUAACUUUGUCCAACACAAGGGCCUACGGAGCACUCUCCCUGCUUUUAUCCCCUGUGGGGUGUGGCUCCAUAACUCAGCACUCCCUGGGCCUGCCCCACCCUUUCCUCUGCUGCGCACGCUUCUCUCGGCAUCACUGUUUCACAUCUAGCCAAGAUUGAUCCUCAGCAGCUGGUUCUUGGGGCAUUGCCAGGGAGGAGGAGGGGUCGGGGGAAAGAGGCCUUGUCAGCUCCUCCUCCUGGCCUGCAGCUGGAAUCUGGGACAGUGCCAGGGAGGAGGAAGAUCCAGGGGGGGAAGGAGGCCUUGCCAGCUCCUCCUCCUAACUUUCCGAGUCAUCCGGCUCCAGGAGGCCAGGCCCGGGGCCCAGAGCCACAACACCGUGUUUCCCCGAAAAUAAGACCCUGUCUUAUAUUUUUUUGAACCCUGAAAUAAGUGCUUGGCCUUUUUUGGGGGGAGGUUUUAUUAUUUUGGGGCAUGUGGAGCAAGAUGGGGCUCCUCUUGCUGUCUUACCUGAUUUCCAGCUCUACGUUUAAAUAUUUUCAGGGAGGGCUUAUUUUCGGGGGGAGGAUUAUUUUAGCGCAUGCGCUCAAAAUCCCGAUUGGUCUUAUUAUCGGGGGAUGUCUUAUUUUUGAGGAAACAGGGUAUUGCUGCAAUCAUGUGGCCAGCAUAAAAUCACGGAACGCUGUUACCUUCCCACCAAAGUGGUACCUAUUUAUCUAUUCACAUUUGCAUGCUUUCAAACUGCUAGGUUGGCAGGAGCUGGAGCGAGGACGGGAGCUCACCCCGUCGUAUGGCUCUCGGGUCUUGAACCUGGGCUGCUGGUUUUCCAGCUGACAAGCUCAGGGUCUUAGCCACUGAGCCAUUGUGCUGCCAGGAGAGCUUGGGUGACAAGGAAUUCUAAGGGGGAAAAAAAACUUUUGCCAUUUGGGUGCUCCAGUCAGUUUGAUUCCAUCUUCCUAUUUUACAACUCUUUUGUGAGCUUGACUCACAAUGAAGUUACAGUGGCAGCUUACAGAUGUUUCAUCUUAAUGGCAAAGACCCUGCAUAACAUUUGGAAGCAUCUAAGGGCCCACUUUGCUUGAAGCAAGAUCCUAGCCAGGCCUCUUUGCUUAUUUUGUCAUAUUUUGUAGUCACUGCAGACAUUCAUGAUCAGGGGUGAAAUCUAAAAAUUUUCCCUACCGGUUCUGUGGGCGUGGCUUAAUUGGUGGGUGUGGCUUGGUGGUCAGGUGACUGAAUGGGCAUGGCCAAUAAUAAUAAAUAAUAAAAAUAAUAAACAAUAUACAAAACUUGGGAGCGCACCGGUCUACCUUCUUUAAAAAUAGAAGCUCCGGUCUACUAAUUGCCUUUUUUUGGGAGGCACCGGUCUACCUUCUUUAAAAAUAGAGGCACCGGUCUACUAGCCGCCUACAGCGCUGAUGAGCUGUAGUGCGACCUUUUGAAGCGCUGCGGCAGUCAUUUAAGACUGUUAGCAGCUAUAUCACGACCGAGAGCUUCAGGGACAGAGAAGAGGAACAGCGAGGCGUGGGCGGUGGGGGGAGCAGGGAUUUUUGCUACCGAUUCUCCGAACUAUCCGUCCCCAUUGCUAAUGAAUCGUGCGAUCCGGUCCGAACCAGGAGCAUUUCACCCCUGUCCAUGAUUGUGUGAGAACAUGGAAUAUGCUAAGAAAAUUCUUCAAAAUCCACAGGAAAGUCUUAUUACAAAAAACUAUUUAGUACGCUUUCCAAUUACUCAUCAAAUGCAACUGGAAAUCACUGUCGUAGCAUUUUCCUAACAAACCAUUUCCAGAGAUAAUUGACCAAAUGGGGAAUUAAGCUAUCCAAGAAUAACUUCUUUACAAUUCUCCAUUUCUCUACAGCUAUUUCUUU